rnacentral:misc_RNA from 1 species
GUAGGUGAACCUGCGGAAGGAUCAUUACAGUGUUCGCUGCCCCCCGGGGUAGCAAACCUCACCCUUGUGUAUUAUAUCUUUGUUGCUUUGGCACGCCGCCCCCGGGCGCUGGCUCCGGCUGGCUAGUGCGUGUCAGAGGACCCCAAACUCUGAAUGUUAGUGUCGUCUGAGUACUAUCUAAUAGUUAAAACUUUCAACAACGGAUCUCUUGGUUCUGGCAUCGAUGAAGAACGCAGCAUCUGACUGACUG